AGUGUGAAAUUUCAUGCAUUGACAUUUGCGUUUCGUGCACUGCCCAAACCCAACUUUACGAUUAAGCGACGCGUGAGCAAAAAAGAGGAGCACGACUUGGAGAUACCCCUGGCCGAGAUGCCGUAUCAGAGGACUUCGAGCUGUCUUCUCAUCAUAUUUUCAGAGAUCGACGAGUUCACACAGACAAGCAGACAUGGGUCGGAGUUGAUUUCUUAUGUCUGUUACAUACGUUUGCACAAAAACUCCAUACCCUUUUUUACCUCAUCUUAUUGCCGUGUCCAGAGUCAAAAAGUUACAAAAAAGCAAGCAAGAAACUGUACAUAGGGAAGAGAUGGCCGCGCCUUGCCACCUGGCACCGAAAAAGAACUGAUAAGUGCACCCACUAACCCUUUGGGCAGCGCCGCUCUCCCCUCUGAGCACGCAAUCCUUGAUGCUUUAAUUCGCACUGCUUUACGUUGCUUCCCUUGUUAGAAAUACAGCAAUGUACAAGAUUUCAUUAAUGCCAAUAGGGUCUGCACUCGACUCGUUACUCGUUACUCGCCAAUCGCCGCUCGCCACUCGCUAAUCGUCUGCCAGGUGAUUCGGACUGAACGGCACGUAUGUAAAUGCUUCAUUGCCCAGCCGCCACACAUGUGUGUAUUUUCUACACUAACUGGCAGCACUGCAAUAAGCUCAGGUACAGUUAUGCACGGUUACGGGCAGUUAAGCCGUCUGGCAACGCAUUGUAAUGUUCAUAUUUUGCAUAUCGUACUUAUGUUUAUACUCUGUUUACAAAGCGAAAUAACGAUAUCUCUUGAUGACAUUGUUGGGUAACCCAGUCCACGGUGUUUAUGGACUAUGGUGGGUAUAUCACAGUCUUGUAUACCCAACUGCAAUAUUCCUAUUUGCAUAUAAAUAUGUUAAUACGGAACCAGCAUACCCGCAGCUGCAUUUGUCACUGGCUUUUAUAAUGCACAAUAUUUAUAUGCAAAUAUCUGACACAUUGACCGGAUUUGGUUCAACACGCCCGAUAAUAGUUAUCAGCUAGUAGCAUAUGUGAACCCCUCCUCUGCCCCACACAGAGCCAAUAAAUAAACUUUACGUAUUCACAUUCAUAAACGUA